UACGGAGGGUGCAAGCGUUAAUCGGAAUUACUGGGCGUAAAGCGCACGCAGGUAGCUGAGUCAGUCGAUUGUGAAAGCCCUGGGCUUAACCUGGGAAUUGCAGUCGAUACUACUCAGCUAGAGUAUGGGAGAGGGCAGUGGAAUUCCCGGUGUAGCGGUGAAAUGCGUAGAUAUCAGGAGGAACACCAAUGGCGAAGGCGGCGAUCUGGACGAUGACUGACGCUGAGACGCGAAAGCGUGGGGAGCAAACAGG
rnacentral:rRNA from 1 species